GCCGCUCUUCGGACGGGGAGGAAAGCCGUCCGAAGGACCCGCGGAGGGCCUGCUUCGGCAGCUUCGCUGGCCGGGUCUUUCACGGCGUCUUCACUGUGCGCUCGGUUCGGCACAAUGGGGAAGCGGGAUAAUCGAGUGGCUUAUAUGAAUCCAAUAGCAAUGGCCAGAUCAAGGGGUCCAAUCCAGUCUUCAGGGCCAACAAUCCAGGAUUAUCUGAAUCGACCAAGGCCUACCUGGGAAGAAGUGAAAGAGCAACUAGAAAAGAAAAAGAAAGGCUCCAAGGCUUUGGCUGAAUUU